AGUGUCUGAUGUUUGCCUGAACUGUUUGUACCUCUGGGCCAUAUUGCAGAACCCUGCCCUUCUUUGUUGACUGAGGAAAGCUCGCUCCCUGCCCAGGUUUUUCAUUGUUGAUCGAAAUUAACACCAGGUGGUGAAUAGAGCCCCUCCUAAGGUUGCUCAGGAUAAAUCAUUUAUUAAAUAGGUCUGCUUAUCAGGAGGGGCGUGAAGGCUCCCAAAAGGAAAUGCUGGCACCUGGGCCCAGAAGCCAGGGCCUCUAACUCCUGGGGUUGAUUUCUUCAGUGAAGUUGCACCCUACAAAGGGAAUAUGGCCAAAGCGGCACUCAACUGAAGGCUGAUAUCAGGCGAUUAGACAGCCAUGCAUUCUGCGUUUGUCUGGAAUGGAUUGUAGAGAGAUGGACUUAUAUGAGGACUACCAGUCCCCGUUUGAUUUUGAUGCAGGAGUGAACAAAAGCUAUCUCUACUUGUCUCCUAGUGGAAAUUCAUCUCCACCCGGAUCACCUACUCUUCAGAAAUUUGGUCUGCUGAGAACAGACCCAGUCCCUGAGGAAGGAGAAGAUGUUGCUGCCACGAUCAGUGCCACAGAGACCCUCUCGGAAGAGGAGCAGGAAGAGCUAAGAAGAGAACUUGCAAAGGUAGAAGAAGAAAUCCAGACUCUGUCUCAAGUGUUAGCAGCAAAAGAGAAGCAUCUAGCAGAGAUCAAGCGGAAACUUGGAAUCAAUUCUCUACAGGAACUAAAACAGAACAUUGCCAAAGGGUGGCAAGACGUGACAGCAACAUCUGCGAGGAGCAAGCUUCUAGCAGCAGAAACCGAACUGCUCUGUCUUCUGUAUUGAGAGCCAUCUGCAGAGCUGUUACAAGAAGACAUCUGAAACCUUAUCCCAGGCUGGACAGAAGGCCUCAGCUGCUUUUUCGUCUGUUGGCUCAGUCAUCACCAAAAAGCUGGAAGAUGUAAAAUUGCAAGCCUUUUCACAUUCCUUUAGUAUACGUUCCAUUCAGCAUUCAAUUAGCAUGCCUGCUAUGAGAAACUCCCCAACUUUUAAAUCAUUUGAAGAAAAGGUCGAAAACUUAAAGUCUAAAGUAGGGGGAACCAAGCCUGCUGGUGGUGAUUUUGGAGAAGUCUUGAAUUCGGCUGCAAAUGCUAGUGCCACCACCACGGAGCCUCUUCCAGAAAAGACACAGGAGAGCCUGUGAGAUUCCUACCUUUGUUCUGCUACCCACUGCCAGAUGCUGCAAGCGAGGUCCAAGCACAUCUUGUCAACAUGCAUUGCCAUGAAUUUCUACCAGAUGUGCUUUUAUUUAGCUUUACAUAUUCCUUUGACCAAAUAGUUUGUGGGUUAAACAAAAUGAAAAUAUCUUCACCUCUAUUCUUGGGAAACACCCUUUAGUGUACAUUUAUGUUCCUUUAUUUAGGAAACACCAUUAUAAAAACACUUAUAGUAAAUGGGGACAUUCACUAUAAUGAUCUAAGAAGCUACAGAUUGUCAUAGUUGUUUUCCUGCUUUACAAAAUUGCUCCAGAUCUGGAAUGCCAGUUUGACCUUUGUCUUCUAUAAUAUUUCCUUUUUUUCCCCUCUUUGAAUCUCUGUAUAUUUGAUUCUUAACUAAAAUUGUUCUCUUAAAUAUUCUGAAUCCUGGUAAUUAAAAGUUUGGGUGUAUUUUCUUUACCUCCAAGGAAAGAACUACUAGCUACAAAAAAUAUUUUGGAAUAAGCAUUGUUUUGGUAUAAGGUACAUAUUUUGGUUGAAGACACCAGACUGAAGUAAACAGCUGUGCAUCCAAUUUAUUAUAGUUUUGUAAGUAACAAUAUGUAAUCAAACUUCUAGGUGACUUGAGAGUGGAACCUCCUAUAUCAUUAUUUAGCACCGUUUGUGACAGUAACCAUUUCAGUGUAUUGUUUAUUAUACCACUUAUAUCAACUUAUUUUUCACCAGGUUAAAAUUUUAAUUUCUACAAAAUAACAUUCUGAAUCAAGCACACUGUAUGUUCAGUAGGUUGAACUAUGAACACUGUCAUCAAUGUUCAGUUCAAAAGCCUGAAAGUUUAGAUCUAGAAGCUGGUAAAAAUGACAAUAUCAAUCACAUUAGGGGAACCAUUGUUGUCUUCACUUAAUCCAUUUAGCACUAUUUAAAAUAAGCACACCAAGUUAUAUGACUAAUAUAACUUGAAAAUUUUUUAUACUGAGGGGUUGGUGAUAACUCUUGAGGAUGUAAUGCAUUAAUAAAAAUCAACUCAUCAUUUUCUACUUGUUUUCAAUGUGUUGGAAACUGUAAAAUGAUACUGUAGAACCUGUCUCCUACUUUGAAAACUGAAUGUCAGGGCUGAGUGAAUCAAAGUGUCUAGACAUAUUUGCAUAGAGGCCAAGGUAUUCUAUUCUAAUAACUGCUUACUCAACACUACCACCUUUUCCUUAUACUGUAUAUGAUUAUGGCCUACAAUGUUGUAUUUGUUAUUUAUUAAAUUGUGAUUGUUUUAUUAUUGUUUAUGCCAAAUGUUAACUGCCAAGCUUGGAGUGACCUAAAGCAUUUUUUAAAAGCAUGGCUAGAUUUACUUCAGUAUAAAUUAUCUUAUGAAAACCAAAUUUUAAAAGCCACAGGUGUUGAUUGUUAUAAAAUAACAUGCUGCCAUUCUUGAUUGCUAGAGUUUUUGUUAGUACUUUGGAUGCAAUUAAAACUAUGUGCUAUCACAUGUGAAAAGCUUAAUAAAUUCCAUCUAUCAGUAGUAUAGGUCUCAAUAUUUAUUAUGAGACCAGUGGUCUGGAAACAGCUUGUUGUACCGAAUCAACUGGAGUCUAUGCUUAAAAAAAAAAAAUUUUUUUUUAACCAUCCUUAAAUUAUUGCUUAAUGGUAUCAUAUUAACAUAUUCUAAAUAAGGGCUUUAAGGCACAGGCUGUUGAAGCAUUUUCUCAGAGGAGUGGAUCUGUAGAAGUCUGUCUUUCUAUAGAAAUAUUGUGCUUACUCAAGUGUUAAAUUAUUUUUUCUAUGAACUAGUCUACUUCUUAAAAUUCAAACAUAUUCUUUUGAUCACAUUGUUUCUUGAGCAUCCUGCCCUGCUACUAACUUUUCAACAAGGCAAAAUGGAGUAAAGUGGCAAUUUCUUUAGAUGAGUGAAAUACCCUCAAGUCUCUUUUCUGCCCAAAAAGGGAAAAGUGAUAGAAAUGGGGGUGGCAAGUGGGGUGAGUGGAUGAAGGUGGGUAUUGGGGGUGGCUGUGAAAGAAAAUAAUGGAGAAUCACUUUUCUAGACAUCUACCUAUACUUAAUCUAAGAAACAAAGUAAUCUACUGUAAAGUACUCUGCCCCUUGAAAGAAGUAUUAAAAAGAGUGAGGAUGGAUUUAGAAAAAAACAUGAAUUUAGAAAUAUUCAAAAUGGUUUUUGUGGCAGAUUCAAUAUUAUGAAUUCACAGAUAUUUAAAGAAUGAGAAACAUAGUAAUUAGUAGAAAUGCCAGAAACAGUUCCUGGUUCCUCUUGUGUUUGACACUAAGAAAAUAGCAAGAGUGUGAAAUCUCAGAUACUUAUGAAAUCUCACAGAUGUAAGGACUCAAGUGUAGAAGAAAAUAUCCCCUUCUUACAAAAAGAAAUGUCAAUUUAUGGAGUUUGUGGGAAAUAGGGCAAGAAUUCUUAUGCUUAUGAGAGCCAAGUAGUCAGUGGAAGAGAGUAGAGCUCAAAACUGGAUUAUCACCUUAGCAACUUAGAAUAGUUUGAAAUAGAAAAAAAGUAUUUAAUUUGGAUCUGGAUCUGUUAAGAUAUGCACAGUCUAUUUUUUGUAUAGUAUUGGAAAAUAAAAAUGCUAUAAUUUGGGUAUGGGUUCUUUUGUAUACAUUACCUGCCCAUUGAGGAAAGGGGCAAGUCCAUUAUGCAACUUCUCUCCAAACCCUUCAUAUUCUGGAUAUGAUACUUAAAGAGCCAUGAGCAGCUACAUUCUGCCUAUCAGAAGGCAUUUAUUAAAUGACUGCUUGCUGAAGAUGUGUCCAAAGAGAUCCUACAUUAAGGUCAUUUGUCAGAAUGAUGUUUGUGUUUGUUUAGAGUUGGCUGACCUCCAACUCCUGGGGUCAAGGAAUCCUACUGCCUUAGCUUCCCAAAUAGCUAGGACUAUAGGCAUGCACCCGGCCAUGUGUUUUAUUUAUAGCUCUUAAAGCCCAGAUGAAGAAAUCACAUUUUUGCCCAUAGUGAAGAAACAUUUGGCCAUUGAUUAGUCCUUAUUUUCAGUGACUGUCCUGUUUUCAUUAGAUUAGAGAGACCCUGUGUGGGCCACAGUUAAUAUAAACCAUUAUCACUUUUAAGUAAACCUGCACAUCUUAGAUUUCAUAAUUUCCUUAUUGUUCUGACUCAAAAUGAACUAAGAGCUUUUCACUUUUUGUUUGUAAGUUCUCAGAGAGUCGGGUCUGCAAGUGCUUUUGCCUGCCAGGAUUUUGUACUCAAAUAAAUGCUAUUUGGCAACUAAAAUUCUUGCCAGCUCUCAUGUAAUUUUGAUGUUACUGAGGUUGGUUGGUAGUUUAUUUUAUUAAUUUUGUGGUUCUUCUAUCAUAUAGAAAAAGCCAAAUACAGUUUUGUUUGAAUAUUUGUAAA